UUUUUUUUUUAUACCAUGCCAUAUACAUUUAAUUUUCUUCAGAAUUUGAUUUAGGUUUCGAGGGAUUUUCACAAAAAGGAUCCCGUUUGGGAGAUGUUUGAUGACCUCGGUCGUAAAGCAGGGCAAACUCAAAUUCUCAUGCAAAUUUAUCACUGCUGUCUCUGCGAUUCACAUUCUCGGAAAUAGGAGUUGCAGAUUGUAGAACCGGAUGUUGGUGGUUGACUUCUUGCUUUUACGUUCGUUACCUGUUGUCAAAAAAAAGGAUACUGUUAGUUGUUAGAAGGAGACAGCAGCAAACAUAGUGAAGAUGGAGUGUAAUAAAGAUGAAGCCAUUAGGGCUAAGGAUAUUGCAAUGGAGAAGAUGGCAGAGAAGGACAUUGCUGGAGCAAAAAAAUUUGCUUUGAUGGCCCAAAGCUUGAUGCUGACCUUGAUGGCUUCCUCAAUUACUGGCACUCUUGAUGUGUACGCCUCAGCUGAGAAGAAAAUUAAUGGUAAAUGAAUGGAUGACGUGACACUCGGGUCCCCCCAGGCGGGUUCAGGGCGCCAUGAAGCGCGGUUUAUUAAGGUAUAACGCACCGGACCGGAUUUUUGGAUUUGAGGCGUUACAUAAUGGUAUUAAAGUCAUUACCCAUCCAAAAGUGUGAUGAGAUUCACAUUGCCUGGGUUUGGAAAUGCGGAUUCACAAUGAGGACGUUGCGUUCUAUAAGUGGGGGAGAAUGUGAUACCCCAUGAAAGAAAUGCUUAAAAGGAUUGACAUGUGUUGGUUUGUAGGGGCCAAUCAUUAGUCUGAUAAGGCCGCUCCCCUGUUGUCUGGUCCAAGUGGAGGAGAAGAGACGCAGUGCUCCGUAACAGACUCAGGUCGCAGAUAUUGCCAAGGGGGCAGGAGCCCCUGAGAGAUCGGCGGGUCAAGGCCGCCGUUGAGCUAGUGAGAUUACCCUGUGAGGAGGGUAAGAUUUUGUAAUAAGGGUUCGGAUGAACGCCGCAGACAUCCUUUCGGCAUCUCUAUUGACGUAGUUCAAGAAACCAGGUAAAUGAAUGGAUGACAUUGCACGCAGGUCCCACUAGGCAGGUUUAGGGCGCCACGAAGCACGAUUUAUUGAGGUGUAACGCACCGGACUGAGUUUUCGGAUUCAGGACGUUAUAGUGAGAAUAGACUAGAAAACUCUUUAGGGGAGGGUGAGUGUUCAUUAGUCAUUUGUAAAACUCACUAACCAUUGUCAAAAUGUUUAGCCUAUUUGCCUCCCUCGCUAAGUACACAAUGUCAAUGGAGGUGUUCUUAAUGAAUUACGUUUGUUUCAAUGU